rnacentral:rRNA from 1 species
CAUGAAGCUGGAUUCGCUAGUAAUCGCGCAUCAGCCACGGCGCGGUGAAUACGUUCCCGGGUCUUGUACACACCGCCCGUCACACCAUGGGAGUCGGAAAUGCCCGAAGUCUGCGACCUAACCGUAAGGAAGGAGCAGCCGAAGGCAGGUCGGAUGACUGGGGUGAAGUCGUAACAAGGUACC